UUGUGAAGUUAGACAGAACAACUCCGUGGCUGACGUUAGGACCAGAUGCAAUAAUCAAUUAGACCCUACCCUAGCACCAACCAAUCAGUAGAGACCA